ensembl:lncRNA
GUGGAAGUGGGGAACGUCACCAGAGAUGGGUGAUGGAGGGAUGGACAGCGGGGACAGACGGACAGCAAAGCGGCUGUGGAAGCAAUCCCUGAGCCCAAAGCAGCGCCCUCCAGCAAUGGGGUAUGGGGUAAUCGUUCCAUCCCCACAUCCCCAUGCAAUGGGAGCACAGCACUAUGGGGUCCCCACAUACACAUGCAAUGGGAGCACAGCACCGUGGGGUCCCAAUGCAAAAGGAACUCAUCACCAUGGGGUCCCAAUGCAAUGGGAGCACAGCACUGUGGGGUCCCAAUGCAAUGGGAGCACAGCACCGUGGGGUCCCCACACCCCCAUGCAAAUGGGAGCGCAGCACUGUGGGGUCCCAAUGCAAAAGGAGCUCAGCACCGUGGGGUCCCCACACCCCCACGCAAUGAGAGCUCAGUGCCCACAGCCUCACACCCAAGAAUAAGAUUGGGGAUGCGCGUGGUGCCGAGCAAGGAGAGCAACGCUGGAGCUGCACGGAUCGCCGCUUCGGGGCCGGAGAAUGAAAGCAAAUUGCAAAGCAGCAUUAAAGAACCACCCUGCAGCCUUCUCCUCCAUGCCCAGGAGCUGAGAGCCUCCUGUCCUAUUAAUAUCAGCCAGCUCAGGAAGAGGAGAGGGAACAUCUUUAUCUCUUCCAUCCGCUGAUACCUCGUCCUCUCUCUCUUUUAUGGCUGCAAUUCCCCCUUUGUUCAGCCCCACGUGCUGCGCGGCAGGGAGAGCUGCUGGAGCAUCUCGAAAUAUAAUUAGAAAGCUAAAUAUGACACCGCUGUUCCACUCGGAGACCCAACCCCAUAAAACACCCAGGCUGUGAUGUGGAAAACGGUGCCAUCCGUGCAUCCGCCGCCGCCCCGACGGCUGAGCUCCGUGAUUGCUUAAAGAUUACCCACCAGUUUUCAAUUACCUCCCAUUAAUGUAUUUACCCGGCGUAUCUUUUAUCAAGCUGCAAGUUGUUGUGUUGGUAUGAUAUUAUUUUUUCUUUGCAGGGAGAUGGGUUGGCUUCCCCUAAACGGCCCAUAUUUCAGCAUUAGAGCCGCUCGCUAUCAGCGUGGGCUGAGUGAUGCUUUGCUGCUCCAUCUCCCGGUGUUUAAUUCUGCUGGAGCUUCGGCUGCUCCUUAGGGGUGGUCACCGAGGUGUGCUGUGAAGGCCAGGGGGGCUCAGGGGGUGGCUUCCAAUGGAGCUGAGGCAGCGGAGUGGGGUCCCCUCUUCAUCCUCCCCAUCCGCUUCCCUGCCUCAGUUUCCCCUUCGGAUCACAGCUGUGCCUCAGUUUCCCCUCAGGUUCCUCCCUGCACACAAACCACAGCCUUCCCCCACCUCACAUCUUCCUGCGGAGACCCCAACGCUUCCCCCAGCGCCCACCCAGCCCUCAAAUCCCCCCUGGCUCAGAGCGGAGGAUCCCGAGGUGGGAUUUUCCAUCACCCCCCACCCCGAGGCUCCGUGCUGAGUCCCUGCAGACGCUUUUGGGGCCAUUCACCCCAGAAUGAGGCUGAGGACCACAUGUGGUUGGCAACGACACGUGGAGCCGCGGGGGAAUGAGCUGCUGAGAGCCACGAUGGUUCUGGCAUGGAUUCAUCCCAAAAGAAUCCGAGCGGAGCGUGGAGCUGGGCCGGGGUUGGGGGUUGUUUCCAUUUCUGAGCCAUUUUGCACCGCGUUGUGGUGUCAGUUUUGGGGUGAUUAUCAAAUAUAGAGGAGAAGGAGCGAGUCGGAGGCAGAACCAGGCAGCUCCACUCCUCUGCGCCCACCCUAGCAGCACUGAGGACAUCCCCUCCAUUUGCUUUCCUUUUCUGGGGGGACGUUUACUCAUAAACUGGAGAGAUUUUCCCUGUUUUCUCCCCCUUUUUAAACAAAUCAUUAUUAUUUUCAUUAUUAUUUUCAGAGCUUAAAUGGCUCAAUGCUCAGCCACUGGAGAACGGUGGCCGUUGGGCAGAGCCAUGUCCACAGUGCACGGCCUCCAUUGGGUGCAGUGAGACGCCAAGCCUUGUUUUAGUGGGCACGGUGGGGGGGUUGGGGUUGGGUUGUUGGUGUUGGAGCUCUUUUCCAAGCUUAAGACUCCAUGAUUCUAUGAGUGAGCAUGGUGGGAACGGGUUGGGGUUGGACUGUUGGUCUUGGAGGUCUUUUCCAACCUUAAUGGCUCCUUGAUUUGAUGAGUGAGCAUGGUGGGAAUGGGUUGGGUUUGGACUCAAUGGUCUCAGAGGUCAUUUCCAACCUUAAUGACUCCAUGAUUCGAUGAGUGAUCAUGGUGGGAAUGGGUUGGGGUUGUAAUGUUGGUCUUGGAGGUCUUUUCCAACCUCAUUGGGUUUCAGAAGAAGAAUGGAUCUGUCGGAUUUCAGCCUCCCUGACCCCCAUCCCCCCCUUCUAUAUAAAAAAAACCAAAUGCUGUCCCCAUAACUGCAAUCAGAGCGCUCUGCAGAGCUCCGGACACAAUUGCUGUGGUUGUUAUUAUCUUUAUUUAAGGCCCACGGAGGCCCUGAGGGAAUAUCACCAUCCUGGUGCCAUAAGAUCUAGAAACGGUGCCGCUGUUUACUGUGCCGUCGCGUUGGCUCCUCAGCCCUUCGAAGCCGUAACCUUCCUUUUUAUGGCAACAAUUAUGCUAACGAUAACAUCAUUAAACCGCAUGGGAAUGACCCUUAAAUCAAAAGGGGAAGCUUCCCCUUCCUGAGAACGGUGGCCCAUUGGAGACCUCGGGUGGAAGGAAUCACCGCCCCCCAACCACAGCGAGUUCGGUGGAUAUAUCUCUCUAUAUAUUUUAAGAAGAUUAUUUAUGGUUUAUUUUAGACGCCGGAUCAUUUGGCUCUUGUUUCAUCAAUUUGUCACUGUUUUUAUUGUCACCAAUUGCCCAUAACUGGAGUGCGUUUAAAAUGUCAUUGAUCUUGAUAUUAUGGUGUCAUAAUAUGACAGUAAUAGUUGUAUCUUGUACAGAAAGCCCACUUCCUAAGAUUGAUGGCUUUCACCGCACCAAUUAUAUUCUGUCCAUCUCGGUGAUAAAGAGAGCGUUGGAGGCAUUCAAUAGAUAAAUUAGAUAUCUUUUCAAUUAUUCCCUUUAUUUUAUAGGGUCACGUGCCUGAUUAACAACUUUUUACUUCUGUUAUUAAGCCGGCGGGUUCUCAAUGCUCGCUCCAUGUCUUUUAAUUCUCGUGGAUAUAAUGGAAGACGUUGAGGGCUUUGUGCUCUGUGAUCCUCUCCUAUCUUUUGUGCAGUACGAAUCUCACUCUUCCUGGCAGCCCAUGGGUGCUGCAGUCCCUUUUUUCCUCCAGGAUUCCAUAAAAGAAUCCCUUCCUUUGGCUGGAAGGCGCCCUGAACUGUGAGCUCAGCCCCAUCCGGACGUGUUUCUCACCCAGGCUUUGCUCCGUGGCGCUGUGGAUGGUUGGGGGGAGAGCUCUGAGAUGCAGAGUGUCCCAUGUCAGGGUAUUUCUGGAGCUGAAGGAGUGAAUGGAUGGGGAAGGUGGUGGCCUCGGGCAGGAUGUGGCCUCUUCUCUCUGUGUUCCAGGUUGGGGACGUCGGCACCGGUUGCUGUGACUGAGUGUCCCCAUCCCCACACGAGGAUGUCCCAGUAUAUCCCAGAGGUGCUCCUGUGGUGCAAGCCUGGAGGACCUCUGUUGGCCAAGACCGGGUUCCAUGUCCACAUGAAGAUGCCCCAUUACACCCCAGAGGUGUUCCCAUGGCAUCACGUGAGCCUGGAGGACCACUGUUGGCCAAGCCCGGCUUCCAUGUCCGUAGGAGGAUCUCCCACUGCACCCUACAGAUGUUCUUAUGGCACUGGGAGAGCCUGGAGGACCACUGUGGGCCAAAGCCAGGUUCCACGUCCACAUGAGGAUGUCCCAAAACAUCUUAGAGGCAUUCCCAUUGGGCCAUGUGAGCCUCGAGAACCCCUGUUGGCCAAGGCCAGGUUCCACGUCCACAUGAGGAUGUCCCAGCACACCCUUGAGGUGCUCCCAUGGCAUCGUGUGAGCCCUGAGGGCCACUUUUGGCUCUGAGAUGGUCGCAGCGUGGUGAGAUGGCUCUGGGCUGGUUGGGUUUUGUUGGCUUUGUGGAACCCCAAGCAUCCACUUCAGGGGGACCUCAUCUUCUACUCAGCCAAAUGACUCCGGGUGCUGCAGGGCGAUGGCAAACGCAAGGAGACAUUCAACCACGGGCUGCCCUGACCCCAUUCCUGCUCCCCACGGGGGUGGGACAAAAGAUGUGUGAUUUGUAACCCAUCAGGUCCCCAAAAAGCACUUUUCUGUCUCCCUCCGAGCUCCACACCGGAGACGCCGGGCUGCCCCUACCCCAAUUCCCUCCCACCGCAGACGUCGAUCCGCGCAGGCGAAUGGAAACACGGCGCUGGCGAGAGGCUCCCCUGCAGAGCAGUUCCUCAUCCCGACCUGCAACGCACACAAAGAGCAAUUCAGGUGGAGUUACCCCGAGGAGAUUUAUGGCGUCCAGGGAGGCGCACGCGAUCCGAUACCAAAGCAUGAAUCAAAGCAGGACAGCCGGGAUGUAUUUACAUCUGCGCCGCGCGCGCGCGCCGACGUCGCAAGGAGAACACAAAGUCAGUUGGCAAUGGAUGACUGCUGCGGGCUCUGGGGGUGGUGGGGGGCACCUCUGAGCUUCGUGGGUGUAAAAGGGAAUGGGAAGGAUGAUGGUAAUCGAUGGGGUUGCGCUGCAUGGCUUCUCAAGGCCGAGCCAAGGGAUGUAUGUGUGAGGAAAUGGCGGGGGUUUCAUGGCUGGGGGGUAUAUCUGAGAGGAAAGCCCUUGGGUUUCAUGGCUGGGGAUGUAUUUGAGAGGAAAGCCCUUGGGUUUCAUGGCUGGAGGCAUGUUUUAGAAGAAAGCCCUUGGGUUUAGCAGUGGCUGUGGAUGGUGAAGCCUCCAUGCGUCCUCACAUCGGUUGGGUUGCGUGGGCACUCCGGUCCAACUCUGUUAUCCAACAUUUCAACCCAUACAAAGCCCAGUGGUGUCACCACGUGGUGCAGCACCAACCCCACUACCUGGGGUGGUGAUUUUGGGCCCCUUCUGCCAGGAAAUGGCUCACGCCGUGUGAAAACACCCAACCCAGAGCUGUGACAUGGUGUGGACCUUUUGGUUCACCAUUGGGGCUUUCCGGAAAGACUCAUUCCAUGAUGGAUGAACUUUUAAUGGAGAGAAAUAGACAGCCCUUCUUUAAGUGCGGGGUUUAAGUGAAGCCAAUGAUUUAAACAACUUAAAGUCCAUUAAACAAAGGGAGAACUUGGAUCUCAUCAACUCAUUCAUUCUGAGAAGCGCCCGGCCUGGGAUAAACCUGACACUGAGGAGUCAUCAGAGCAUUGCUAAAACAUACGCUUGCCUUCGUAAUGAAAUGUUUUUAAGGGACCAUAAUGGUUACCGUGAGGGCGGUUUGCGUUAGAACCAUUUGAAUUCCCUCAGCUGAGAUCCUUCAAUAGGUGCCCAUCCACUAAUGGAAAGGAGACAUUUCGGAGACGUGAAGGAGUUGGAGACAUUUCGGCCCUAUUUGGAAGAGGUGGGGGCACAGGGAGCGGUGCCAGCCCCUUCCCCAUCUCCACACCCCCACAUUUUCCCCUCCUUUCGUCCCAGGUGGAAAUGGAUGGAAGCCAAACGUGCCAUAAGACGAAGUGUGCUGAUGGGAAGCGGAGCCCAUCGCCUCCAUCACUGACAAACAGGGAGAGGUGGGGUUGGUGGUCGCUGGUUUUCCACUCGCAGUGGUCCAUCAGGGUUACGGAUGCUCUGUGGGUAACAGAAAAUGGUCAUAAUUCCCCCCCAGGUUCAGUGCUUUGGGGUUUCUCAGCAUGUUACCAGCGGGCACCAAUCGGGGUGGGGAGGACGAGAGCCUCAUUUCUCCCCAAGCAGAUAAAAUUUCUCCUCUUCCCAUCCACACAAACCCCAGCCAUAAAUCCUCAGGCUCGAGCAAAUGCAGGGCAGAAGUUUAAAGCAAACCUUACGAUUUUAAUGCCCGGGCUCAACGAAGCAUGGAAACAUUUGCUCAGCAUUAAGUGUGUGCUUAGCACCCCGCAGGAGCCCAGAGCUGCACACAGCAGUGCAGGAACUCCCUUCUUCCUCCCCAAUUCAUCCCCUGUAGGAGCAGAGCGCGGAGGCAGCGAGCCAAGCGUCCGGCCAACGCUGCAGCAAGAUUUAUGGGAGGGGAAGGGACCCGCUUUCUUCCCUGUGAUUAAUAAGGAGAAGACAAGAAACCUCCUCAGAGCCCCAAUGGAGGCAUUUCCCUGGUUUGAUGGGGUCAACGAGAGCCGAAUUCCAGCCGAUGUAGAUAUAAUUUCAUCGGGGGGUUGGAGGGUCCCUUCCAUCCCUCCCACUGCUGCAAGAAGAGAACUGGAAGCGUCUCCUCCCUCCGUGCUGCUCCAGGGCUCGGUGACCCUGCAGCGAUGUUCGGUCCUGGCAGCGGCGUGGCGACGUUCCUGGGAGGAAAACAGAGGAAAUGGGGGUCUGCUCUGCAAAACCCCACCCUGGGAUGCAAGGAUCCAAAAGCCAUCGGGAUGUCGCAUUUACCGACGCCAUUCAUCUACACCCAUCCCCAGGACGGGCUGCAGGAGCCGCGCUGGUGGUCCCAGCCAUUAGCAGAGCCCUGAGGAUGAGUUCCCAGCCCUCUCCCCCAGCCCUGUCCUUGCACAUCAUCCGCCCUCACAUCACUGCUGGAUGUGGCACCGGAGCCCUCGGCGCGGCCACAACUCAGGUUGGCAGCUGAGCAUCCUGGAGCGGCCGAGCGCGGCCGGGAGCCGUAAUUCUUACCCUGCAUUCCCUGCCAGCUCUGCUCCCCGGUGGCACAUAGAUCACCCAGAGGUGUGGAUGGAGAGCAGGCGAUGUAAAUCACAUUAAACUCCACGCGUGGAGCUGCUCGUUCCGAACGCAGCCAGCCUUAAUUCGGUUUAGCUUUGCGAAUUAAGCUCAAGUGAAUUAAACCAACUCUAAUUCUGGCUAAGUGUCCAGAAUGGGGUUUUAUGUGCUCUGGCUAAUCCAUUUUAAAGGUUGAUUUGGGUUAACGUUGAUGGAUGUCCCUUUGUGGGUACCUCUCGGUGCCGCCAGGCUCGCCUGGCCAGGAUUUAUGGCACGGCAGCAACCAGAGCCAUCCACCCCAUGACCUGCGCCAGCACCACGAGCUCCCUCAUUUCCCAGGGAAUGCUACAGAUGAGCUUCAACUGCUUUCCCAAAGGGCAGCGUCUGUUCAUUUUUCUAGCAAACCAGUGUUGGGUUGAGUCCCAUGUUCCAUUCCAGUAUUGAAGGCAGCAUCCAUCCGAUCUUGCCAACCAAUACGCAUCGGGUUGAGUCAAACUGUUCCAUUGCGUUGUCGAAGGGCAGCAUCCAUCUGACCUUGCCAACCAGCUGGCAUUGGGUUGAGUCCCACUUUCCACUCCAGUAUCAAAGGGCAGAACCCAUCUGGUCUUGCCAGCCAAUCAGCAUUGGGUUGAGUCCCACUUUCCAUUCCAGUAUAGAAGGACGACGUCCUUCUGGCUUUGCCAACCAAUUGGGUUGAGUCAAACUGCUCCAUUCCACCGUCACAGGGCAGCAGCCCUCCAGCUCUGCCAACAAACCACCCUUGGGUUGAGUCCAAUGAUCCAUUCCAAGAGAGGAGACACAUUUGGGGCACUGCUCUGAAGGUUCCUCUCUCCUCAGUGGGGGAUUCAUGGGGGGUUCGCAAUUAGUACCGCAGCGUAGACCCGAAGGUGCUGAUUUCUCUUCAUUGAGUGCAGAGAAUUUGGGGCACAGAGCUCCUUAUUUAGGCACGUCUCCUGAAUGACCAACGCUGUGCAGAUGGAAAGUGCACACAGCUAAUGAGUGCCAUUACGUCUCACCCCUUUGGUUCAAAAUGAGGACAGGACCAUCAUCACCUCCCAGCCUUCGCAACGCUGCUCGUGUAAAGGGGGGUCGAGAGGAGGGCCCAAUGCAUCCCACACCAAGAGCAUCGCCCACGUGGGAUCACGCAGCAGCCGGACCCCAAACGUCCCCUCUUCCCAAAAUCAGCCUGGAUGCGUUUCUGAGAAGAGCGCGUCCCCUUGACUUUGUCCUUACAACAUCGGCAGUGAAUCCUGCAGCCUCCACCCUCGCUCCUCUCGCAGAGCAGCCAAUUGGCAGCGGAUCAAUGCAGGAGAGAGUCAGCAGGAGGGCAGCGAGAUGAAUUAUUUCCCUCUGGGAGGCGGAGGGCAGAGCCCAGAGCUGCCCCACAGCCCGCAGGCAGGGCGCUAUAGGGCGAGCAUCGGGAUGGAGCAGCGUGGCAGGAUGUGUUCGCUGCGUCCCCCGCACCCCACGCGUGGCCGUAAGGGCGAUUAGCUCAGUUAAUUUAGCCCCGGGUUGAGGGUGGAAGACAACGUGGAGGCUCCCCGCCCAUCUGCAAAGGGCUUUGGGUCGGGAACACAUCUACAGGGGAACGCUCGUGCAGGGAAAUGUGAAUUAGCAGAGGCUUUGAGUCGAGAGUGCAUUAAUUUAAAGUGCGCUGGAAGCGCAUGCAAAAUGCAUGCAAAGUGCACUCUGCUCGGAACGAAAGCACUCCUCGGUCAAUGGGAGGUGAUUUACUGCCUCUCCCUCGGCGGUCGGGGCAGAAUCCAUCUCUCCUUCCCGCAGGUUGCUGAGCCGAACCGGGUCGGGAAGAGCAUCGCCCUCCGAGGGAGCGACUCCCCGCACAUCCCCGGCUUACGGGACGCAGCGCCGCGCUUCCCGGCUGCGGGGGGAGGACGGGCAGGGAGAGGUGCUGAGAGACGGCAGGGAUGGGAGGAGAAGGGAAAGGUGCGCUCGGAUUUAAACGCACGGCGUCCCGCGGCCCGGCGCAGCCUUCGUUUGCAGAGAGGGCCGACGGCCGUGCGGGCGCUGCAGAGCUCCGGCGGCGCUGCAAAGUAGAGGUGCGGUGUUGAAAGGAGCUGAGUGCCGCCAGUUGGGCUUAAAGCCCGAAGAGCUGAGCUUGCAGUGGGUGCCCUCCUGAAAUAGGUGGGUUGGAGAGUGCCAAAAGGCCGUCAAAAGCCCCCUGGUUUGGGGCUGCGUCGCGUCGGGUGGCACCGCUGUUCUCCGCCACGAGGGAAAUGCCCAGGGGGGUAUUUGGGCCUUUUUGGUGAUGAAAGCCAAUGGGUGUGAGCAGCAGCAGCAAAUCCCUGCUGUGAGGGAGCGGCCAAAAAGCGAGCAGAGGUGAAGCAAAGCUGCACGGCGCCGAAAGCGAACCCUGGGGAGGAAAAGGGUGGAAAAUAGUUGAGCUCUCCUCGAUUUCAGUGUGAAAUCCACUGAUCCACCGGCGGGGCUGAGCUCCCCCAUGCAGGGCUGGGGCUGUGAGCUGCCUGUCUGGGAUUGCCAGCAGAGCGAGCAAAAGCAAUUAACCUAACGAGCAGCGUGGCUCCUGUAGGAAGGAUGCAGGGCGCGGAGCUCGGGGUUUUAAAUCAAUCUCGUGGUGGUGAAGGAUGGAGAGAUGAGCGCGGCCCGGAAAGGAGAUGCUGCUUAAUGAGCCCUCGAGAUGUGCUUUUAAGCAGUGUCCUUCCAGAUGGGAUGAGAUGAGUGUUAAACCACGGGAAGGGGUCGGGGUGUUUGGGGGGGUUCCCACCAACGGGGGAUCCGUGCCAGUCCUCUCCAUUGACUCCAGAGGGAGUCGGGAUGGGCAGAGAGAAGAGGGCAGAACCAAUUGGGUCGGAUGGGACCCUCAAAGGGCACCGGGUCUGACCCCAGGGGUGGGUUUGUGCCCCAUAUAGCACCAGGUCUGACCCCAGGGGUGGGUUUGUGCCCCAUAUAGCACCAGGUCUGACCCCAGGGGUGGGUUUGUGCCCCACGCAGCACCAGAUCUGACCCCCAGGGAUGGAUUUGUGCCCCAAUGGCCUUUCCCAGGGAUGCACUGAGGUUCCCAUGUUGCCCCCCCAGAGCAUCCCCCAUUGGCACUGCUGGGUCGGGGCCUCCCACCCCCUCCCACCCCCUCCCACCGACCCCACCCUCACCAAUAGGACACCUUCACCCCCCCCAUUUGGGACUAUUCUCCCCCAAAACACGAGGUUCCCCAUCACCUCCUCUCACCAUCCUGGACCCCCAGGCGAUGAGGGGCCGCAGCUCCCACCGCCCCGAGCCCCAGAAGUCUAUUUAUUACUCACAGCAAUUAAUAAAGGGCGGGAGGCAGACGAGCAUCUCUCCUGCCUGUUGCUAAUUAGUGCUCUGCUGGCGGGAGGCGAGGAGGAGGCAGAGGCUGCAGGCAGCUCGCUCGCCCACGACGCGUAAUGAAAGCAGCACAACCCUUCGCGUUAUUUAAUCUAAUAGGAGAAUUAAUAUCUGGAUGGAGGGCGAUCGCUUCUGCUCUACAGAUGGGGGCACGCAGCGAGGAAGGGGGGGGGGGGGGGGGGACACCCAGGGAUGCGCCAUCCAUCUUGCUUUAUCCCCAAAAUGCCAUUGGAUUGCAUGGUGGUGGGUGGCUGUCGGCGGCCUUUUGGGGUCUUUUCUCCCCUUUUUGGCUCAGCACGGUGAUUGAAACCCACUCCCCACCCUUCCCACGCUGGUAAAGCCCCCCCCCCCCCCCCCCCCCCACCCCGAUCUCAACGAGGAGCACUGGAAGGGCUGCUGUCUGUCCAUGCGUGGAGUCUCCCCGGGCUGGGUGACAAAUGGCCCCUGUGACAGUAAUGGCAAAAUUAGAAGCUGCAUCGCCGUCCCCUCCGCCCGCAGCCCGCGCUGCGCUGCGCUCCUCCCCAACACGCAGUGCAAAGAAAGGUCAGCGGGCGCCUCGCAUGUUAAUGCAUGGAG